CUCAGCCACAUAGCCGAUCUGUCAUCACAGAGUGAGUGUGUGUCGGUGUCGGAGUCUCCGUUUUGGUUUUCACUACUCAUUCUGCCUUUUGCCCCACCAAAGAAUCUAUCGUCCUCU